AAAACUUUUAACAACAGAUCUCUUAGUUCUAGUAUUAAUGAAGAACGCAGCGAAAUGCGAUAAGUAAUGUGAAUUGUAGAAUUCAGUGAAUUAUUAAAUCUUUGAACGCACAUUGCGCCCGCUAGUAUUCUAGCGGGCAUGCCUAUUUAAGCGUCAUUUCAACCCUUAAGCCCGCUGCGUGCUUAGUGUUAGGGACUGGCCCGCCUGCCUCGCGGCGGCGGCCGCCCCCGAAAUGAAUUGGCGGUCUUGUCGCAGCCUCCCUUGCGUAGUAACAUACUACCUUGUAACCGGGAGCGUGGCGCAGCCACUGCCGUAAAACGCCUAACUUCUCUAAGAGUUAACCUUAAAUUAGGUAGGAAUACCCGCUAAACUUAAGUAUAUUAAUAAGUAGAGGAAAAGAAACUAACAGGGAUUGCCCUAGUAACGGUGAGUGAAGCAGCAACAGCUUAAAUUUAAAAUCUAGCCCCUGGGGCCUAAGUUGUAAUUUGCAGAGGAUGCUUUUAGCGAGGCGCCUUCCGAGUUCCCUAGAACAGGACGCCACAGAGGGUAAGAGCCCUGUCUGGUUAGAUGCUAAGCCUCUGUAAAGCUCCUUUAAUAAGUUAAGUAGUUUAGGAAUACUGCUCUAAAUAGGAGGUAUAUGUCUUCUAAAGCUAAAUAUUAGCUAGAGACCAAUAGCGUAUAAGUAGAGUAAUUAAAAGAUAAAAAGCACUUUAAAAAGAGGGUUAAAUAGUACGUGAAAUUGUUAAAAGGGAAGCGCUUAUAACUAGACUUAGGCCCGGUGAAUUAUCUAGCGUUCUCGCUAGUGCACUUUGCUAGGCUUAGGCUAGCAUUAGUUUGCCCUAGGGGACAAAGGCUCUAGGAAUGUGGCUCCUCUGGGAGUGUUAUAGCCCUCUGCGCAAUGCCCUAGGGCGGACUAAGGUUCGCGUAUCUGCAAGGAUGCUGGCGUAAUAGUUGUUAGCGACCUAUCUUGAAACACGGACUAAGGAGUUGUCCUUGUAUGCGAGUGUUUGGGUGUAAAACCCCUACGCGGAAUAAAAGUGAACGCAGGUGAGAGCUUUAGCGUAUUAUUAACUAAUCCUAAUGUUCUUGGAUGGAUUUAAGUAGGAGCAUACAGGGCCAGACCCAAAAGAAGGUGAACUAUGCCUAUAUAGAGUGAAGCUAGAGGAAACUCUAGUGGAGGCUCGCAGCGGUUCUGACGUGCAAAUCGAUUGUUAAAUAUAGGCAUGGGGGCAAAAGACUAAUUAAACCUUCUAGUAGCUAGUUUCCGCUAAAGUUUCCCUUAGGAUAGCAGUGUUAAUCUUAGUUUUAUGAGGUAAAGCGAAUAAUUAGGGACUUAGGGGCUAUAUACUGCCUUUAUCUAUUCUUAAACUUUAAAUAUGUAAGAAGCCCUUAUUACUUAAUUAAACGUAGGCAUUCGAAUGUAUUAACACUAGUGGGCUAUUUUUGGUAAGCAGAACUAGCGAUGCGGGAUAAACUAAACGCGAGGUUAAGGUGCUAGAGUAGACGCUUAUUAGACACCACAAAAGGUGUUAGUAUAUCUUAACAGCAGGACGGUGGCUAUGGAAGUUAGAAUCCGCUAAGGACUGUGUAAUAACUCACCUGCUAAAUGUACUAGCCCUAAAAAUGGAUAGCGCUUAAGCGUCUUACCUAUACCUUGCCCUUAGGGUAGAAAUAAAGCCCUAAGGAGUAGGCAGACGUGGGGGUUAGUGACGAAGCCUAGGGCGUGAGCCCGGGUUGAAUGGCCUCUAGUGUAGAUCUUGGUGGUAGUAGCAAAUACUUUAAUAAGAACUUAAAGGACUAAAGUGGGGAAAGGUUCUAUGUGAAUAGCGGUUAGACAUAGGUUAGUUAAUCCUAAGCUAUAGGGAAGUUCUGUUUUAAAGGUGCACUUGUGCGCUAUCUAGCGAAAGGGGAGCUAGUUAAUAUUCCGGCACCUGGAUGUGGGUUUUGCGCGGCAACGCAACUAAACGCGGAGACGACGGCGGGGGCCCUAAGUAGAGUUCUCUUUUCUUCUUAACGGUCUCUUACUCUGAAAUUAGUUUGUCUGGAGAUAGAGUUUAAUGGCUAGAAGAGCCUAGCACCUCUGCUAGGUUUAGUGCGCUCCCAAUGUCCCUUGAAAAUCCGCGGGAAGGAAUAAUUCUCACGCUAGGUUAUACUUAUAACUGUAGCAGGUCUCUAAGGUAAAUAGCCUCUAGUUAAUAGAAUAAUGUAGAUAAGGGAAGUUAGUAAAAUAGAUCUGUAACUUUAGGAAAAGGAUUAGCUCUAAGGGUUAGGUGCGUUAGGCCUUAGGGGGACGCCCUAGGAGCAGGCAGCCACUAGCCAGGUAACUGGCCGGCGGCAGCCAGCAUCCGGGUGCCGACGCCCUUGGCAGGCCUCGGCCGUCUAGCGCACGAUUAACAACUAACUUAGAACUAGUAUGGACAAGGGGAAUCUGACUGUCUAAUUAAAACAUAGCAUUACGAUAGCUAGAAAGUGGUGUUAACGCAAUGUGAUUUCUGCCUAG
rnacentral:rRNA from 1 species